AGAGAGAGACAUGCGUGCAUAUCAAUAAGCGGAGGAAAAGAAACUAACAAGGAUUCCCCUAGUAACGGCGAGUGAAGCGGGAAGAGCUCAAAUUUGAAAUCUUAAAGGGUUUCCCUUUACGAAUUGUAGUUUAAAGAAGUGUUUUCUGUUGAGGUUUUGGUAAAAGUUCUUUGGAAUAGGACAUCAUAGAGGGUGAGAAUCCCGUAUUUGACCUUUACUUUCAACUUUGUGAUACACUUUCAAAGAGUCGGACUGUUUGGGAAUGCAGUCCAAAAUGGGUGGUAAAUUUCAUCUAAAGCUAAAUAUUGGCGAGAGACCGAUAGCGAACAAGUACCGUGAGGGAAAGAUGAAAAGAACUUUGAAAAGAGAGUUAAACAGUACGUGAAAUUGUCAAAAGGGAAGCGUUUGACACCAGUGUUGUUUUUUGAAAAUCAAUUAAAGAACUGUUUAUGCUAAGCUGUUUAGACUUUAUCAGCUAUCUGUUUAGUUUUGAGCUUUUCUUUAAUGCACUUUUCAGUUAACAAGUCAACAUCAAUUUCUUUUGCUGUAAAAAAGCUUGAGGAAGGUGGCUUGAGAUUCGUCUUAAGUGUUUAUAGCCUCUUGCCUAUGCAGUCGGAGAGAUUGAGGUCUGCAGCGUAGAUCCUUCGGGGCUAAAUGCAUUUGUGCUAAGUUAUAGCAUUUUAUAGACAACUUGUUGACUAUGAUUUGUCUUGUAGCUUACUCGCUUAUGUUAUUUUACCUACGCUUAGGAUGUUGAAGACUCUACAGAGAUA
rnacentral:rRNA from 1 species